rnacentral:rRNA from 1 species
UACGUAGGGUGCGAGCGUUAAUCGGAAUUACUGGGCGUAAAGCGUGCGCAGGCGGUCUGUUAAGACCGAUGUGAAAUCCCCGGGCUUAACCUGGGAACUGCAUUGGUGACUGGCAGGCUUUGAGUGUGGCAGAGGGAGGUAGAAUUCCACGUGUAGCAGUGAAAUGCGUAGAGAUGUGGAGGAAUACCGAUGGCAAAGGCAGCCUCCUGGGCCAACACUGACGCUCAUACACGAAAGCGUGGGGAGCAAACAGG